rnacentral:rRNA from 1 species
UACGGAGGGGGCCAGCGUUGUUCGGGAUUAUUGGGCGUAAAGGGCGCGUAGGCGGCCGGAUAAUUCUGACGUGAAAUCCCUCGGCCUAACCGAGGAACUGCGUUUGAAACUGUCCAGCUCGAGUCCGGGAGAGGGUAGUGGAAUUCCCAGUGUAGCGGUGAAAUGCGUAGAUAUUGGGAGGAACACCAGUGGCGAAGGCGGCUCGCUGGACCGGAACUGACGCUGAGGCGCGAAAGCGUGGGGAGCAAACAGG